rnacentral:rRNA from 1 species
GACGAACGCUGGCGGCGUGCUUAACACAUGCAAGUCGAACGGUGAAGCUUGAGCCUGCUGGUGUGGGUAUGAGGCGCAAGCGUGUGAGUAAUGCGUGCGUAACGUCCCCGUGACUCGGGUAUGCGCUGGAGACGCUGUCUCAAAUUGGAUAUGCGACGUGUCAGCACGGGCUCUUUUUUGAAAGUUGUUUGGUUGGGGAUGGGUUCGCGGCCUAUCAGCUUGUUGGUGGGGUAAUGGCUCACCAAGGCGACGACGGGUAGCCGGCCUGAGAGGGCGACCGGCCACACUGGGACUGAGACACGGCCCAGACUCCUACGGGAGGCAGCAGUGGGGAAUAUUGCACAAUGGGCGGAAGCCUGAUGCAGCGACGCCGCGUGAGGGAUGACGGCCUUCGGGUUGUAAACCUCUUUCAGCAGGGAAGAAGCGAAAGUGACGGUACCUGCAGAAGAAGCGCCGGCUAACUACGUG